rnacentral:lncRNA from 1 species
UCAAUAAGACCCUUGACUAAUUUUGUGCUCGUUAGAUUGUCCAAUAUGCAAAGUUUAGGGAUAUAUGGGUGAUUAAUUUUAUUUUUUAGGGAUCUGUAUAUAAAUAUGAUACAUCAGUGUUUAUGUACAAAUUCACUUUAAGUAAGACGGGAAGUGGGCCCGGGUCAGUCCGACUUCGGGUCGGGCUAUGGGCUAUGCCCAAGAAAUUGGGAUCAGAUUCAGGUUCAAAAUUAGGGCCCGAAUAUAUUUCGGGCCGGCUCCGGUAGUUGUGUUGGCCUGUUUGAGUCUGCAAAUCGAGCCCGGACAGGCCCGGAUCCGGCCCGAUAUCUGGGCCGAUGUUUGGCCCGGAAAAUUGAGGUAAGUGGUCUGAUCAGACCAACUGAUGCAGGGGUCGAAAUCCUGACCGCUGGUUCGCCGGGCUCUUCUUCUCUCGAAGAGCCCCGAUCCUAAUCAAAAUCAACAGUCAAACCCUUCAACCAACAGAAAAAGAAAUCAUCGAUCAGCGGCUAGGGUUCUCGACUUCUCGUCUCUCCGCCUCCACCGCCUCUUCGAUCCCUGAACCUCGUCGCUCAUCGCCGGUCGGCGGUCCAAGCCGAAGGCGAGCCUCCUAUCGUCGGCCGACUGUGGUUCCAUUGAGGUAUCAUGUUC